rnacentral:rRNA from 1 species
GACGAACGCUGGCGGCGUGCCUAAUACAUGCAAGUAGAACGCUGAAGAGAGGAGCUUGCUCUUCUUGGAUGAGUUGCGAACGAGUGAGUAACGCGUAGGUAACCUGCCUUGUAGCGGGGGAUAACUAUUGGAAACGAUAGCUAAUACCGCAUAACAAUGGAUGACACAUGUCAUUUAUUUGAAAGGGGCAAUUGCUCCACUACAAGAUGGACCUGCGUUGUAUUAGCUAGUAGGUGAGGUAAUGGCUCACCUAGGCGACGAUACAUAGCCGACCUGAGAGGGUGAUCGGCCACACUGGGACUGAGACACGGCCCAGACUCCUACGGGAGGCAGCAGUAGGGAAUCUUCGGCAAUAGGGGCAACCCUGACCGAGCAACGCCGCGUGAGUGAAGAAGGUUUUCGGAUCGUAAAGCUCUGUUGUAAGUCAAGAACGGGUGUGAGAGUGGAAAGUUCACACUGUGACGGUAGCUUACCAGAAAGGGACGGCUAACUACGUG